UCUGGUUGAUCUUGCCAGUAAUUUUGCCUAAUCUUGAAGAUUAAGCCAUGCAUGUGUAAGUACACACGGAUUAAAAGUGAAACUGCGUACGGCUCAUUACAUCAGCUAUAACUUUCUUUGAUUAUAAAAAUUAAAUGGAAUAACCGAGGAAAAGCCUGGGCUAAUACAUGCGAAUAUUUCGAUAGCAAUAUCGAAAUGCUUUUAUUAGAUCAAAAUCAACUGGUUUCUUAACGGAAACUGUUUGUUGGUGACUCUAAAUAACUUUGUGUUGAUCGUGUGACCUUGUGUCGACGACAUAUCUUUCAAGUGUCUGACUUAUCAACUUUAGACGGUACAUUAUAUGUCUACCGUGGUUGUAACGAGUACAGGGAAUCAGGGUUCGAUUCUGGAGAGGCCGCCUGAGAAACGGCGACCACUUCCAAGGAAGGCAGCAGGCGCGCAAAUUACCCACUCUCAAAACGAGGAGGUAGUGAAGAAAAAUAACGAUGUUAGUCUUUUAUAGGCUGAUAAUCGGAAUGAGAACACUGUAAAAAGGUUAUCGAUUAACAAUUGGAGGGCAAGUCUGGUGCCAGCAGCCGCGGUAAUUCCAGCUCCAAUAGGCAAAACUAAAGUUGUUGCAGUUAAAAAGCUCGUAGUUGAAUUUCGGGUUUCUGUUUCCAGUUGACUUUAAAUGGUCAGAUUGGUUUAUAGAUCCUCAUUUGCAGGAUCGAUUGUCAAUGCUCUUUAUCGGGUGUUGUCAAUUGCCAGAACGUUUACUUUGAGAAAAUUAGAGUGCUUAAAGCAGGCUUUAAUGCCAGAAUAAAAUUGCAUGGAAUAAUAAAAUAAGAUCUCGAUUUUAUUUUGUUGGUUUUAGAAGUUGAAAUAAUGAUUAAUAGGAUCAGAGGGGGGCGUACGUACUGUGGUGUGAGGGGUGAAAUUCUUGGAUCGCCACAGGACGAACAACUGCGAAAGCAUUCGCCAAGAAUGUUUUCAUUAAUCAAGAACGAAAGUUUGAGGUUCGAAGACGAUUAGAUACCGUCCUAGUUCAAACCAUAAACGUUGCCAACUGUCUUUUAGAUGCGGUCUAUAUUAAAAACGACUCAUCUAGCGGAUCUCGAGAAAUCUAAGUUUUUAGGUUCCGGGGGAAGUAUGGUUGCAAAGCUGAAACUUAAAAGAAUUGACGGAAGGACACACAAGAAGUGGAGCCUGUGGCCUAAUUUGACCCAACACGGGAAACCUUACUCGGCCAGGACACUUUUAGGAUUGACAGAUUGAGAGCUCUUUCUUGAUUAGGUGGGUGGUGGUGCAUGGUCGUUCGUAGUUCGUGGAGCGAUUUGUCC
rnacentral:rRNA from 1 species